AGCUCAGUUGGUAGAGCAUCGCAUUCGUAAUGCGGGGGUCACAGGUUCGAGUCCUGUA
rnacentral:tRNA from 1 species